GUUCUACUGCAGGUUCCAGCUGUCCUCCUCACUAUGCGAGUCCAGGUUUCUACGGGAGGUGCUGAUCCCACGAAUUUACCAAUCAUUAUCAUCCAGUCUGCUUUUAUUGAAGAAUUUUUCUUCAUUUUCCCAGUGGAUUUCAAUUUUCAUUGAGGAGCAUCAGAAAGGCCCUCUCUGUUCACUUCUGCUCUAUCUUCUGGGACUUGUAACUAUAGCCUUUAUGCUCCCGCUGGCGCAUCUGCUGUACGGAUUCAGAUGCUGCGUGGUUUCUGGAAGGGCACCCAGGGUGCUGGCAUCGGCGCUGCGUGGUCUCAGGGAGAAGGUGACACCUUGAAGCUGAAGACGGACCUGCUUUAGAGGAAUCUAGCUUGAGGAGCCUUCCCACUUCCUGCCUGCUGUCUCUAGGCAUGUAAAUAAUUUCUUAUGUGUUUUGGCUCACAGCUUUGGACAUUUUAGGUUGUGAUCGAGUUUGUCCAUUGUCUUGGCCUUGUGAUGAGGCAGCACAACAUGGUGAGAAUGUGUUUCAGAGCAAAAUCACUUGACAUACCUCAUGACCAGGAAGUAAGAAAGGGACCAAGAAGCUGAGACUCCAUAACACCCUUUGAGAGAACAUCCCCAGUGACCUAAAACCUCCCACCAGAUCCCACCUCAUGGUGUUCCACCACCUCCCAGUAGAAGCAAACUAUGGACCAUGCCUUUAAUGCAUGGGCCUUUGGGAGACAUGCAAGAUGCAAACUAUAGCAGUGUCAGUUUGCUGGUUGUUUCUUUCCACUGCGGAGUAUCCAUAGUGAAUACUUGCUCCCUCU
rnacentral:lncRNA from 1 species